UACGGAGGGGACUAGCGUUGUUCGGAAUUACUGGGCGUAAAGCGCACGUAGGCGGAUUUGUAAGUCAGGGGUGAAAUCCCGGGGCUCAACCUCGGAACUGCCUUUGAUACUGCAAAUCUCGAGUCCGGAAGAGGUGAGUGGAAUUCCUAGUGUAGAGGUGAAAUGCGUAGAUAUCGGAAGGAACGCCGGUGGCGAAAGCGGCCCGCUGGACCUCUUCUGACGCUGAGGCGCGAAAGCCAGGGGAGCGAACGGG
rnacentral:rRNA from 1 species